UGGAUAUGGCAGUAGCAGUAGCAGCAGGAGGAUACCACAGUGUGGCAAGGUGACAUAAUGUGGAUAUGGCAGCAGCAUCAUCAGACCACAGAGUGGCAAGGUGACAUAAUGUUGAUAAGGCAGCAGAAGUAGCAGAAGGAGGAUAC